UAGGGAAUCUUCGGCAAUGGACGAAAGUCUGACCGAGCAACGCCGCGUGAGCGAAGAAGGUUUUCGGAUCGUAAAACUCUGUUGUUAGAGAAGAACAAGGGUGAGAGUAACUGUUCACCCCUUGACGGUAUCUAACCAGAAAGCCACGGCUAACUACGUGCCAG
rnacentral:rRNA from 1 species